rnacentral:rRNA from 1 species
UAACUACCGUCGCCACGCAGCCGCGGUAAGUACGGAGGGUGCGAGCGUUAAUACGGAAUUACUGGGCGUAAAGACGCAUGCAGGCGGCCUGUUAAGUCAGAUGUGAAAGCCCGGGGCUUAACCUCGGAAUUGCAUUUGAAACUGGCAGGCUAGAGUCUUGUAGAGGGGGGUAGGAAUUUCAGGUGUAGCGGUGAAAUGCGUAGAGAUCUGAAGGAAUACCAGUGGCGAGGCGGCCCCCUGGACAAAGACUGACGCUCAGAUGCGAAAGCGUGGGGAGCAAACAGGAUUAGAUACCCUGGUAG